rnacentral:rRNA from 1 species
GAACUUGCUCUUAUGAAGUUAGCGGCGGACGCCGUGAGUAACACGUGGGUAACCUGCCCAUAAGACUGGGAUAACUCCGGGAAACCGGGGCUAAUACCGGAUAACAUUUUGAACUGCAUGGUUCGAAAUUGAAAGGCGGCUUCGGCUGUCACUUAUGGAUGGACCCGCGUCGCAUUAGCUAGUUGGUGAGGUAACGGCUCACCAAGGCAACGAUGCGUAGCCGACCUGAGAGGGUGAUCGGCCACACUGGGACUGAGACACGGCCCAGACUCCUACGGGAGGCAGCAGUAGGGAAUCUUCCGCAAUGGACGAAAGUCUGACGGAGCAACGCCGCGUGAGUGAUGAAGGCUUUCGGGUCGUAAAACUCUGUUGUUAGGGAAGAACAAGUGCUAGUUGAAUAAGCUGGCACCUUGACGGUACCUAACCAGAAAGCCACGGCUAACUACGUGCCAGCAGCCGCGGUAAUACGUAGGUGGCAAGCGUUAUCCGGAAUUAUUGGGCGUAAGCGCGCGCACUGGUUUCUUACUCUGAUGUGAACCCCACGGCUCACCGCGGAGGGCAUUGGAAAUGGGAGACUUUAGUGCAGAAGAGGAAAUCCAUUCCAUGUGUAGCGGUGAAUGCUAGAGAUAUGAGGAACUCUGUAUCGAAGCUACUUCUGUCUGUACUGACCUGAGCGCAAAACGUGGAAGCCACCGGAUAGAUACCUGG